rnacentral:rRNA from 1 species
GGUGUAUGAACGCUGGCGGCGUGCCUAAUACAUGCAAGUCGAACGAGUUCUCGUUGAUGAUCGGUGCUUGCACCGAGAUUCAACAUGGAACGAGUGGCGGACGGGUGAGUAACACGUGGGUAACCUGCCCUUAAGUGGGGGAUAACAUUUGGAAACAGAUGCUAAUACCGCAUAGAUCCAAGAACCGCAUGGUUCUUGGCUGAAAGAUGGCGUAAGCUAUCGCUUUUGGAUGGACCCGCGGCGUAUUAGCUAGUUGGUGAGGUAAUGGCUCACCAAGGCGAUGAUACGUAGCCGAACUGAGAGGUUGAUCGGCCACAUUGGGACUGAGACACGGCCCAAACUCCUACGGGAGGCAGCAGUAGGGAAUCUUCCACAAUGGACGCAAGUCUGAUGGAGCAACGCCGCGUGAGUGAAGAAGGCUUUCGGGUCGUAAAACUCUGUUGUUGGAGAAGAAUGGUCGGCAGAGUAACUGUUGUCGGCGUGACGGUAUCCAACCAGAAAGCCACGGCUAACUACGUGCCAGCAGCCGCGGUAAUACGUAGGUGGCAAGCGUUAUCCGGAUUUAUUGGGCGUAAAGCGAGCGCAGGCGGUUUUUUAAGUCUGAUGUGAAAGCCCUCGGCUUAACCGAGGAAGCGCAUCGGAAACUGGGAAACUUGAGUGCAGAAGAGGACAGUGGAACUCCAUGUGUAGCGGUGAAAUGCGUAGAUAUAUGGAAGAACACCAGUGGCGAAGGCGGCUGUCUGGUCUGUAACUGACGCUGAGGCUCGAAAGCAUGGGUAGCGAACAGGAUUAGAUACCCUGGUAGUCCAUGCCGUAAACGAUGAAUGCUAGGUGUUGGAGGGUUUCCGCCCUUCAGUGCCGCAGCUAACGCAUUAAGCAUUCCGCCUGGGGAGUACGACCGCAAGGUUGAAACUCAAAGGAAUUGACGGGGGCCCGCACAAGCGGUGGAGCAUGUGGUUUAAUUCGAAGCAACGCGAAGAACCUUACCAGGUCUUGACAUCUUUUGAUCACCUGAGAGAUCAGGUUUCCCCUUCGGGGGCAAAAUGACAGGUGGUGCAUGGUUGUCGUCAGCUCGUGUCGUGAGAUGUUGGGUUAAGUCCCGCAACGAGCGCAACCCUUAUGACUAGUUGCCAGCAUUUAGUUGGGCACUCUAGUAAGACUGCCGGUGACAAACCGGAGGAAGGUGGGGAUGACGUCAAAUCAUCAUGCCCCUUAUGACCUGGGCUACACACGUGCUACAAUGGAUGGUACAACGAGUUGCGAACCGCGAGGUCAAGCUAAUCUCUUAAAGCCAUUCUCAGUUCGGACUGUAGGCUGCAACUCGCCUACACGAAGUCGGAAUCGCUAGUAAUCGCGGAUCAGCACGCCGCGGUGAAUACGUUGCCCGGGCCUUGUACACACCGCCCGUCACAACCAUGAGAGUUUGUAACACCCGAAGCCGGUGGCGUAACCCUUUUAGGGAGCGAGCCGUCUAAGGUGGGACAAAUGAUUAGGGUGAAGCAAGGUU